rnacentral:rRNA from 1 species
GUGAGUGACCUGCCUUUUAGACUGGAACAACUUACCGAAAGGUGAGCUAAUGCCGGAUGAGUUAUAUAAGUGCAUGUUUAUAUAGGAAAAGUUGGGGAGACCUGACGCUGAAAGAUGGACUCGCGUCCCAUUAGCUAGUUGGUAGGGUAAUGGCCUACCAAGGCGACGAUGGGUAGCCGGCCUGAGAGGGUGGCCGGCCACACUGGGACUGAGACACGGCCCAGACUCCUACGGGAGGCAGCAGUGGGGAAUUUUGCGCAAUGCUCGUAAGAGUGACGCAGCGACGCCGCGUGAAUGACGAAGGCCUUCGGGUCGUAAAGUUCUUUCGACAGGGAAGAAAAUGCCUAUAAGUAACUGUGUAUGUAUUGACGGUACCUGUAUAAGCAGCCCCGGCUAACUCCGUGCCAGCAGCCGCGGUAAUACGGAGGGGGCGAGCGUUGUUCGGAGUGACUGGGCGUAAAGAGCACGUAGGCGGUGUUGUAAGUCAUUAGUCAAAGACUAGAGCUCAACUUUAGUAAGGCUAGUGGUACUAUAAUACUAGAGUAUCAGAGAGGAUUGCAGAAUUCCUGGUGUAGCGGUGAAAUGCGUAGAUAUCAGGAGGAAUACCGUUAGCGAAGGCGGCAAUCUGGCUGGAAACUGACGCUGAGGUGCGAAAGCGUGGGUAGCAAACAGGAUUAGAUACCCUGGUAGUCCACGCUGUAAACGAUGGAUG